UACGUAGGGUGCGAGCGUUAAUCGGAAUUACUGGGCGUAAAGCGUGCGCAGGCGGUUCGUUAUGUCCGAUGUGAAAGCCCCGAGCUCAAUUUGGGAAUGGCAUUGGAAACUGGCGGGCUGGAGUGUGGCAGAGGGGGGUGGAAUUCCACGUGUAGCAGUGAAAUGCGUAGAGAUGUGGAGGAACACCGAUGGCGAAGGCAGCCCCCUGGGCCAACACUGACGCUCAGGCACGAAAGCGUGGGGAGCAAACAGG
rnacentral:rRNA from 1 species